rnacentral:misc_RNA from 1 species
UUUGAAACGGAUUAAAAACGAAUUUUUCCGUUUCUAAUCCAACAACACAAGUAUCGGUUUCAGAAUUUAGAAACCGAUUUGCAACGGAAUUUCUGUUUCAAAAAAAUUGAAACCGAAAUAUCAGUUUUUAAAUUAAAACGGAAUUUGAAACCGAAUAUAUGCGGUUUCUAAAUUUGAAACGGAAUAGUGGUUUGAAAAUAGAUUCAGAAUUUGAAACGGACGCCAUUUUCCGUUUCAAAUUCAUUUAGAAACUUGCGGAUUUAAAACUGAAUAUUUCGGUUUCAAAUCGGUUUCUAAAUGUAUUUAGAAACCGAUUUUAACUGAUUUGAAACCGAAUAUUCGG